UACGUAGGGUGCGAGCGUUAAUCGGAAUUACUGGGCGUAAAGCGUGCGCAGGCGGUCUCGUAAGCUGGGUGUGAAAGCCCCGGGCUUAACCUGGGAACGGCAUUCAGGACUGCGAGGCUCGAGUGUGGCAGAGGGAGGUGGGAAUUCCACGGUGUAGCAGUGAAAUGCGUAGAGAAUGUGGAGGAACACCGAUGGCGAAG
rnacentral:rRNA from 1 species